rnacentral:misc_RNA from 1 species
GAUGAAGAACGCAGCGAAAUGCGAUAAGUAAUGUGAAUUGCAGAAUUCAGUGAAUCAUCCAAUCUUUGAACGCACAUUGCGCCCAUUAGUAUUCUAGUGGGCAUGCCUGUUCGAGCGUCAUUUCAACCCUUAAGCCUAGCUUAGUAUUGGGAAUCGACUUUACUGUCGUUCCUCAAAUUCAACGGCGGAUUUAUAGCAAUCUCUGAACGUAGUAAUUUUUUUCCUCGUUUUUGAAAUACUAUAAACCUCAGCCGCUAAACCCCCAAUUUUUUUAUGGUUGACCUCGGAUCAGGUAGGAAUACCCGCUGAACUUAAGCAUAUCAAUAAGCGGAGGA